rnacentral:rRNA from 1 species
GUGUCAGCCGCCGCGGUAAUACAGAGGGUGCAAGCGUUAAUCGGAUUUACUGGGCGUAAAGCGUGAGUAGGUGGCUCGCUAAGUCGAUUGUGAAAGCCCUGGGCUCAACCUGGGAAUUGCAGUCGAUACUGGAGAGCUAGAGUUCGGUAGAGGGUGACGGAAUUCCCGGUGUAGCGGUGAAAUGCGUAGAUAUCGGGAGGAACAUCGAUGGCGAAGGCAAUCACCUGGGCCUGAACUGACACUGAGACACGAAAGCGUGGGUAGCAAACAGGAUUAGAUACCCGUGUAGUCC